CAAAGUCCACACAAAGCUUUUCUUUCGAUCUGGCCAAGCCCCCGCAAUCGAGUUUCAUCUCAUAAGUGGGAUACAUGUUAAAAUAAUGUGAGUUCAUCUUUUACUAGUGAACUUCCAAGGAAGUUAAUUUUCCACACGUUUUGAUUUUUAAGGACUUUUUGAAUUAAGUUUCUAACCAUUAUUCAAACUGGGCGGAGUAUAGUAAACUUUGAAGAAACUUCACUCCGAUAUAAAAAUGAUUCAGGCCUCUUCAUACAUCGAUAACACACUUUGCCGUCAACACAUCAACUUGGUCUAAGGGAUAUAAGUUUCUGGAGCAGACAAACGGAGAUGUCACCGUGCCAAUCCAUAGUUGCAGAACCUUUUCGGAUAUCAUAUUUAGAUUUCCCACCUGAACUUGGAGCCAGGAAACAUGAAGUUACCCGUCAACAAGUUAGGUACAUGGAAAAUCUCCGAAGACACCCUGUGGAUGCAUCAUGCAAACAAAUAACUUGACGGAUUAAGGUGACCAACAUUAAUUAUUUGGUCUUUAGCAAAGACUCUUUAGUCUAGUUAUUUCGCAUAAUUUUGAUAAAGUAUGUAGUUUCCUGUUCUUGUUAGGUAAUUAGUAAAAAAACGUGGUUCAGUCGUAUCAAAUAGUUCAACUCUAUCGAGGAAUCCAAAGUUUACAUAUAUUGUAAUCCGGGUGACUUAAUAUUCUUGAAAGGUGUCAGCAACAAAUUCGUACAAUGCAAAACCUUAUUUUGAAUGAAACUUAUUGGCUGUUUUCUAUUAUUUGCACCAUAAUGAAAAGCUUUAAUACAGUUCUCUUGCUAAUUGCAGUUUUCAAUUUCGUGAAAUAUUUAAACCAAAUCGGUUAAGUGGAAGGGCAAACUUGAAACCCGUACUUGUGGCGAUUUAAGUACUACUGCAGUAAUAUAUAUGCAUAUGUUUAAUAGAAUUUUAGCGUCUCGAUAGGGUUUUUACAUACAACCCGAACCGCUACUCUACCAGUAGGGUUCUCCGGUACUGAACCAGUAGAUUAUUUGCACUGCUUCAGUUACCGAACAAUUUUCUGUCGAGUUGAAUGAGUUCUUGUCGCCGUUUCCAUGUUAAGGCCUUAGCGUCUUUGAUCCAUUGUUCUCUCUGUUCCGAUCCUACGUAAUGGGCAUAAGUCCCUUCUUCAUCCGUACCCUGGUUGUCUCCAUAUUUAUUUUGCUCAUCAAAAAUCAUCUCCUCUUCUUGAUGCUGCCCGUUUUCCAAAUUAAUGGGACCCCCGACCAGAGUGUUUGGCGCGAUUUCUCCCUCCUCCUGUCCAAGCAUAGUACCGAAGCGGGAGUGUCGUUGGGUUACGUGACGGGCUUGUGAACUAAUAGGGUCUCGGUGGGUCGAAGUAGCCUUAGGAGUAAAUCUUAGAUCGGGUCUGAAAGGUGUCUCGUCGAGGGUUCUUCCAGAUGUGGACAUUAAGGUGGUUCUUUCUGUUUCGUCGGGUAGUUAACUGGUCGUCUAUUUCUUCCUCAAAUUCCGAAAUAACCAGUUCCAGUUCUUAUAAAUAAGAGUAUUGGAAGGUGUUGUUGAAACAAUAUCCGUUUCAAUAGCGUGCUAUGUUCAACUUGAACAAGUGACAGGUUUGCUUCCUACUUCGAGAAUAGGAAAUAUUUUUUAUUUUAAUAUUAUUUUAUUUAUUUUCCACCUUGGAUUGGUUAAGUAGCUAAGAAGGUUGCACCAGCCACUUGAAUGCGCGCUGGUCUACUGCUGCUAUAUGUACUUGACAUAGAACAGGCCGGUUCGACCCUUUCAUUCUCCCUGCUUCCACCAUAUAAUUGUUUACUAAUAUAUUUGUUAUGAUGCUCAACCUAUUUAGUUUUCAACAAUAAAUUUGGGAGCAAUGUAACGCUAAGCCAUUAAAUUCCCUACCGAAAUUAGUUAUAUCCCUACCGAGAAACUUGUAAAUUGAUGCCGAUAUUUGAUUCCCUCUAAACAGGCUCUAAAUACUUUCAGUAUUCUGCAUUAGCCUCGUAAAUUUCUUAAAAAUUUCUCCUGUUAGUAUUAGCGACAAUUUGCUCGUAAUUCUGCAAGUUAGGCUUUAAAUGCUCGGAUCCGGUUUGCGAUUUCAUCAAUUUUGAUUAGCGAAUGUACUUUAAAUGGGUACAAAUUUACACAGGUGACCCACUGUUUGUCUGCGUUUCUUGUCCCCAAUCACUUUCGCUGUUCUGCAGUUUACGGUUUUUUCAGUCAGUUUUUAGAGCGUGAAUAUUACCUCAGUUUUUGAUGAAAAUUGCAGUUAACAAUUUGUACUGUUCACUUGCGAUUUGCUGAACCAAUUUCAUUAGUUAAUAAAUUUCUCAUUGUACACAAGUUAAGAGUCAUUAGGUCACUCAAAAGCAUUACUUCCCUGCUGAAAUCUCGCUGUUAGCACCAUGUUGGAAUUCUCAAGCUUUUUAGAUCGUUGUUCAAAAUCAUGAGUGACAAAUGUGCUUCUUUUCUUCUGUAAUAAUGAUCGUAGUUUUUAUAGACGCCUGUGGAACCUAUAUUCGUCCGUUUUAUGCGGAUAUUCGUACAUUAAAACCAUAAAUUUGUACAUCGUAGUGUUGUUUUGAAGGUUAACUAAGCGUUUGCGCUUCUGGAGUAGCCAUCGUAAUUUACUUGUUGAAGUGUAGAUAUACGUAUUUUGUAUAUGGUAUACACAAAAAUUCUGAUGAAUGAUAAACAGUAUAUCAUUCCCUUGUAAUUUCUGCCGCUAAGGAAAUUUCACCUUACGAAGCGAAUCGUGGGCUGAAGUUUUACAAAUUAAAACGGAGGUAAAACAGGUGUCAUGAAGGAGUUGCCAUUUAUUUCGUUUUCUCUCCUCGUCCCAAGAGGGCUAUGUAUUUAGGUCCGACUUCAAAAAUAAUUUCUAUUAAAAACCACUUGUAUGAGGUCGUGGUGCUGUAGAGCACGGCUUCAUAUAAUGUAUUUACGAGAAUUUUCUGUUAAUCUCAUUUCAUUAUUUUCAUGCCUGGAGAAUGUAUCGAAAAAGUCAUCAAUUUUUUCCUUCAUUUAUUGAUUUGACUUUCUUUUCGGCGUACAAAAUCUGCAGAAUUUCUUAACAUUUUCGAUUACUUUGCGACGCGUUUUUGGCUUGUGCUUAACAUUUUUCACUGUAAGAUUUAACGGUCGUUUAUUCCUUGCUUCUACAGCUUCAGUGAAAAAGAAACUUUUAAAUAUUUGUCCAUAUUUGUAAUGUCAACUCUAAUUUUCAACACUUCCAUAGCGUACAUUGGGACUAUCCGCGCCUUUUAUUACUUAUAAGACUAGAAGUUAUCUUGUGUACUUGUGAUGUAUUAAAACAAAAUCCAUCUCCUUCACGUACAUCUAUAAAUGAUCGUUGAAUUACUCUUGCUGAAGAAAGAGCUUCUGAUGCCAUCAAUUAUUAAUAAUAUUUGAUUUGGUUGUUAAUUAAGUAAAUAUCAGCAGGUAAAUUUUCUGGUUACGGAGACGAAAUGUAUUGCUUUAUGUAUGUGUAAACUGAUAUCUAUAUUCUUAUAUCUAACGUAGUUGUAAGGGUAAUACAUCGGCGCACUUAAAACUUCUUCUCAAAACAGAUGCACUAAAAUUUUAUGGCAUAAAGUGUUUCCACUGCCAGCCAAGGUAACGUUCCAUGACUCCUAUCUUGUCCCUUUGCCGUCUUCCAUCCUGUCUGAAUUUUUUCCUAUUUCGUUUUCUCGUUAUGCUAAUUACAGGGUGAAUUUUCCAGUUUUCUUUCUGUUUUCUCUCUGGCGCCAAACUGCUGUGGAAAUCGUUUGAGCUCAGAAUAUGGAAAAUUUCUGCAUAAUCUUUCUCCAAAUGAUUUUGUUAUAUGUUAAUCUUUUGUAGGGUUGGUCAAUUGCGGAUUGACUUUCGCUAGAAUGUUAGUAGAGAUUAGAGUUUAGUAGAGAUUAGUAGAGAUUAGAGAUUAGAAUGUAGAGAUUUGCCAACUCCCACUAGACGUUCGCAGAAGGAGCCAAAUGUUUCUUAUCCGCUAACUAUCUGCGAAACUCAGCAUAAUAAUGACAGGUGGAUACGCGCUCGAAACCGGUGACUAAUUAGACUAAAACUAAAUUAUCAACUAACGAAUAGCGCUACACAAGGAAAUUUCGUGAUGUGAUUCGUACUACCGUUAAGGGGGACCGUACUGUACGCACGGUCCCAUUAAUUAAAACCACCCCUAUAAAAAAAAGGUGACAGCUAAAGCCUAAAGUUUCUCAUCAAUCUACCUAUUUUUCAACAGAAUUUUGGUAGCAAUGUAACGCUUUUCGCUAUCCCUACCAAGAAUAUUUGCAAGUGAUUUCGAUAUUUGAUUUCCCUGAAAAUAGGGACCUACAGGGGAAAAUUUUUUUACGGUGUCAGAAAAAUACAAAUUAAAUAAUAAAAUUGACUGGAUUGUGCAUUGAAAUAUUAUCUUACAUAUGUACAUAUCAAUUUAUGGUAAAAAUUUGAUAUUCCACAUACAAAAAAACGUCGGUACCACCCUUCAUCUAUUGAUGAAAUAGAAUGACAGGGUGUCAAAUGUUAAAGUUAUGCAUAAAUGUAGUUGGCAGAAUCCUUGGUUUUACUGCGCUUCGGAUCUGAUGUUAUAAUGAAUGUGUGACUAAUAAUUAUUUUGCAUUUAUGUGCUAACUUUUUUUCACCUCGAUUAUCACAGAGGGCGAAUGGAUCCUUCAAAUUUUUCAAGUUGUGGAAGGUCUUGUAUUUGAAAUGUUCUUGGUAUUGAGGCUGUAUGUGUACCAAAAUUAGUGGGAUAAGGGGCUCUUCGGUCAAUAUCGUUCCCCUUUGGGCACGUAAAUUUGCUACUCGGCAGAAGAUGGAUGUCCUCAUUUCUUAUGGCUUUUGACAGGUGGUCAUAAAAUGAUUUACACGAUCUGGCACACACUCCUUCUCGAACAGACGACUAAGCUCAGGUCAUCGUAGUUCAAGCCAUGGAUUGGAUUGAAUUCCUAGGUCGGUGAAGCAUAUUCGUUCUUGAGGUCUCUUUCAGCUAGUUCGAGCUAGAGCGUUGCUGCCUCGGAUAAAUAGAAACGAUCCUCGCAUAAUCUGUAUAAUUAGCCACAAUUGUUUAUAAAUUUGGCGUGCGGGAGCCAAAGUUUAUGGAUUUUCAAAAACAUUCGAUGUGUUCUAUUUUAUCGAUAACAAAUCCCCGAUGCAAUCCGGUUUUUGGAUUUUCAAAAAUAUCCGCUCCUUCAGACCCAUUUAUUGGAAAAACAGCCUAUCUAAUUCAAACGGAUCGGAUCGGGCCACGGUUUGUGCCGACUCAAGUCUGCUUAAAAACAUUAUCAACCUUAUUAUCUCCUUUUUUCUCUUUUUUGUCUUCAUUCGAUUUUCCUACUUUACGAUACAUUACGCGAUACAUAGAUUUAAUAAUUUUUGAGUCAAAUUCAUCGGGUAAUAUGCUUUUAGUAGUUGUUCGUCAUUGAAUAACGAUUGGGUCAACUUGAACAGCUCGACCUAAAUUUUAUUUUUUGAUAAUCUUUAUGUCAUUACAAGUAGCGAUGAAUCUGUUCCACGUGCUCGAAGUUUUUUAUAUGCGAAGAAAGUCAAAAUCCGAUAUUUCAAUGACGGCAAACAUUACGUUAGGCCACGACUCUCGUGCUAUAAGCAGCAUUGAAUUUCAGUUUAUGUCCAUUCAUGGUAUGCACUAUGUACUUCGUACACAUUCGUUUACGUGCGUUCUGCGUAGCCUAUAUUAACUUGGCUUUUAGCAAAGAAACUUCUCUCGCUCAGCUAACCAAUCUCGCGCAAUAUGUACAACGAAGUAGGGGCAAUGUUUACUUUGUAACUUUCUGAAUGUUGCCGUGUAAGGUGAGCAAGACGAGAGUUGAAAAACCAAAUUUUACUGUUCAACGACGGAAUAAUAAGAAUUGGCACUUUGAAUUGAGAAAUUUCGAACAUGUUCACCAUGUUGCUCCAAACAAUUCCUUUGCAUUGUAUUAUCGUAUUCUCAUUACCGUUCCAAUUCAUAUCACGAUCGAUCGCAGGAACGACCAGAAUGCGAUGAUUUUUUUAAAGUUGAAUAGAGGUCACACUUGUCUGAAGGAUGUUUUCCUGGUGUCCUGAAUUUUGCACUCAAAGAUGCUCCCACGAACGUAUCUGAAAUAUUAGUCCAUAAAAAUCAUUUUGUAUUGAUCAAUAUUACUUACAAUACGAUGACGCCGCGGUCUUGCCCCGAUUUAGAUUAGACUAAAUUAAUAUAAUUAAUUAAUAUUAAUGAUUUAUCCUUAAAUAAACACGUAUACACGGGUGGAUUAUUGGGGCGUAAACAUACUGUUCGCACGGUCCCCUCAACUAGCACCACCAGUAUUGUUACAAAAAGGGUGACAGCUACAGCCCAAAGUUUCUCAUCAAUAUACUUAUAGAUUUUUAAAGAAUUUUGGGAGAAAUAAUUGAUUCCCUAUAAACAGGGGCUAAAUACACAAUAAAUCGGCAUUUUCAGCAUUCUGCAUUAGCCUUUUCAAUUUCUUUAAAAUUUCUUCUGCUAGUAGUAGCACCAAUAUGGCUCGUGAUUAUAAUGUUAGGUUAAAGGCUUCAAUCCGUUUUGCGCCCGGCUCAAUUCACGAUAUGGAUUUUAUUAUGCUUUUGUGUGUGUUUAGUUAUUCAUGGAAAUAUGUGUCGUCUUUGUUUAUAAUUAUGAGAAAUGGAAGAGACAAGUUGACACAAAAGUCUGGAGUUUUAUGACAAGUUGUAGCUGGUUUUAUUUACUGUUUACUCGACAAAAGCUCCAGGCAUACUAAUCUCCAAAAUCUCAUUCUCACAUUCAUCUACGUAUACCCAUCCAUGGCUACUUUGUUUAAUUCCACUAUCUUACAUACAUACUAUUGAGACUCAACUAUGAGAUGUUUUUGCGUUUUUUGGAGAUUCUACCUUGGACUAUGUUGAGGUGUCGGUUCCGGUGUCGGUUGUGGAAUUAAUUUCACCGAUGGGGAUGGAAUGUUUUCUUGGUAUUAAGAUAUUAUUUUGAGUGUCAAUUUUGUUAAUUUGUUAUGACGGAAUUUUUUGCACGCGCAGCAGUUACUCGGUUUUAAACUUCAAAAGUAUGACAGCCUAAGUUUACCGUCGUCGAUUGUUCUACUCCUCAGCUUUGGAGAGCAAUUGAUCACGCCUUUGCUUAUCGUAGAGGACGAAUGCGUAAUUCCGGGCUUUCAGGUGUGGCAGGUUGUGGAAGGUCUUAUACUUGAAGUGCUCUUAGUACUGACGCUUCGAUGAUUAAUUGGAAGAGGGACUCUUCGGUCAACAUCAUCCCGCUCUGGGCAUGUAGAUUUGCUAUGGUUAAAAAGAAGGAUAUCCCCGUCUCUCCAGGCUUUUAACGGGUAGUUAUGAAAUGAUUAACCUGAUCUGGCACAGAGUCCUUCCCGGAAAGGCGCCCCAGCUGUGGCUAUCGCAUUUCAAGCCAUUGCUGGGAUUGAAUUCCUUGGUCGGUUUAUCAUAACCCGUUCUAGAGGUCUCUCUCAGCUAGGUGGAACCAGUGGGCGGCUGCCCCAGUUAAAUUUCUUCCAAGUGUGUAUACCUUUAACAUCAUCGGUUUAAUUGGCGACAUGUGGUUCAUACUCUUUGAUAAACUUGGCCGAGUGGGUUUCGGGUGUUCCAUAGAAUGGAUGUCUCUUUGCUGGAGGACCGAAUGCAUCAUUAAGCCAAACGCAUUUGAUCCUAUGUCCAAAGAACUGGAUGCCGCGAUUAUGACAUCUCGUCAUCGGAGGUUGUUAGUUCUUAUACUUGCGUCAUUCCCCUUCACCUCAUCGUCAGUUUCGUUCACUACUGCGCCGUACGACAUUUUCGUUAACUUUGGUCCCUUGUUGAAAGUCUGUCUUAAGUGUAAGAGAAUCCUUUCAACGAAAGUCAUCGAACGAAGUAUUUAUAUGUGUUUAAAUAGGCUAAUAACUGCAUGGUUUAGAACUCUAACAAAGCAAGGAUACAUAUUAUUACCUUGUUGAUUCAAAACAACUUACUCUCUCUUACUUGCUCACUGAAACUGAGUGAGUUCAAGGUUUCAGGCUCGGUGUCUUAGUUGAAUCUAUGAAACUAAUCAGCAUUUCAUAGCUCGUCGCACGUUUUUUCAUCACCGUUUAUUACUGUGUAUAUCAAUUUCCAACAUUCUUCUCAGGAAGAUAUCUAAAUUAACUAUAAAUCUGUACAUGCCUACUCAACGUAAUUUCGAUGUUAAAUGUUGUAUCCCCUCUUUUUAAUAUUGUCGACAUGUAUUAUUCAAACAAGCUUAAUUAUACCGUCACGUGUUCCCUCGUCAACGUCCCGCACCCCCAUGUUGACAAUAUUUUACUCAAUUGAAGUACUAAUAUGGGAUUCUCCAGACCAUGCUAGGAUGGUUUUCAGUGGAAAACAAGAGAGGAAGAUAUUUUGCGAGACUUCUCCGCAGAAGCACUCUGGGAUCCUCGUUUACUGGGCGCAUCACCUUCUCUGUUGAUUGACACGCCGCCAUUGGUACUUGUUUUGCUUUCUCAAACAUUGCAGGUUUCAUGAUCUCAUCCAAUUUUUGUGACACCCUACUUCUUAUGAAUGCAGUACUCGUCAUGUGAAUUGCUGAAUUUCCAGUUUUUGAAUGGUGACGCAGUGUUUGUGGUUGGUGAUCAAUAUUGUCGAUCACGACACUCGCCCCGCAGAAUAUUUGCUCUGACACUUUGAAGUCUGAUCAGCAUAAUCUAAAACAACAAUGUUUGCCCGCUGGCUGAUGUGGGUGUUUCCGUCUCUAAAUCUAGCUUUUCUUUGUUCGUUGUUUGGGAGUGCGUAGGGGCUGCAUCUCUUAAUUUCCUAGUUUCCAUUUUUGUCCUCCACCUUGUCAGGGCAAAGUAAUAAAUCCUUUGUUACCUACCGACAUGUAACUGCAUACAUGAAACAAUGGUAUGAUAAAGAUGAAUAAUAAAGUGAAAAAUGACUCAACAAGAUAAAAUUCUCUAUUUUACAUGGUCUAAGUAUGGAAAAUAGAAGCCGAUUUGUAAUUCUCGAGUACAAAAUAAAUAUGUCGGUAAAUAUAUAUUUUCCUAUAAAUAUCUUAAUUAAAUUAAGUUAAUUUUCAUAAUAUUCCUAUUAGAACAACAUUGAUAAUUAGGAUAUUAAUUUAUCUUAGCUUGUACUAAUUUAAAAUAUAAUAUUUUUUGUUCAAUAUUUACUGAUUAACUUAAAUGCCCUAACGAAUAUCAAUUUAUAUAUACGUACGUCAUCCUCCUUUCCAGCUAAAAUAUUUUCGUAACGAUAAAUAUAGAUGAAAAUUUGUUAAAUUAAAUUAAAUAAACUUCAUAAAUAUAAACAUGUACAUUUGUG